UACGUAGGGUGCAAGCGUUGUCCGGAAUUAUUGGGCGUAAAGAGCUCGUAGGCGGUCUGUCGCGUCUGCUGUGAAAACUCGGGGCUUAACCCCGGGCCUGCAGUGGGUACGGGCAGACUAGAGUGCGGUAGGGGAGACUGGAAUUCCUGGUGUAGCGGUGAAAUGCGCAGAUAUCAGGAGGAACACCAGAGGCGAAGGCGGCCUACUGGGCUGCACCUGACGCUGAGCCGCGAAAGCCAGGGGAGCGAACGGG
rnacentral:rRNA from 1 species